rnacentral:rRNA from 1 species
AUGAACGCCGGCGGUGUGCCUAAUACAUGCAAGUCGUACGCACUGGCCCAACUGAUUGAUGGUGCUUGCUCCUGAUUGACGAUGGAUCACCAGUGAUUGGCGGACGGGUGAGUAACACGUAGGUAACCUGCCCCGGAGCGGGGGAUAACAUUUGGAAACAGCUGCUAAUACCGCAUAACCACAAAAGCCGCAUGGUUUUUGUUUGAAAGAUGGCUUUGGCUAUCACUCUGGGAUGGACCUGCGGUGCAUUAUCUAGUUGGUAAGGUAACGGCUUACCAAGGCGAUGAUGCAUAGCCGAGUUGAGAGACUGAUCGGCCACAAUGGAACUGAGACACGGUCCAUACUCCUACGGGAGGCAGCAGUAGGGAAUCUUCCACAAUGGGCGCAAGCCCGAUGGAGCAACACCGCGUGAGAGAAGAAGGGUUUCGGCUCGAAAAGCUCUGUUGGUGGAGAAUAUCGUUGCGUGAGAAUAACUGUUCACGCAGUGU